GUCCACACCGUAAACGUUGAUAACUCGAUGUGUGCAAUACACCGUACGCGUCUAAGCGAAAGCGUUAAGUUAUCCACCUGGGAAGUACGCUCGCAAGAGUGAAACUCAAAGGAAUUGACGGGGCCCGCACAAGCGGAGGAGCAUGUGGUUUAAUUCGAUGAUACGCGAGGAACCUUACCCGGGCUUGAAAGUUAGUGACCGUCUGUGAAAGCAGAUUUUAUAGCAAUAUACACGAAACUAGGUGCUGCAUGGCUGUCGU
rnacentral:rRNA from 1 species